rnacentral:rRNA from 1 species
UACGUAGGGACCAAGCGUUGUUCGGAUUUACUGGGCGUAAAGGGCGCGUAGGCGGCUUGACAAGUCACUUGUGAAAUCUCCGGGCUUAACUCGGAACGGCCAAGUGAAACUGUCAUGCUAGAGUGCAGAAGGGGCAAUCGGAAUUCUUGGUGUAGCGGUGAAAUGCGUAGAUAUCAAGAGGAACACCUGAGGUGAAGACGGGUUGCUGGGCCAACACUGACGCUGAGGCGCGAAAGCCAGGGGAGCAAACGGG